AUUGAACGCUGGCGGAAUGCUUUACACAUGCAAGUCGAACGGCAGCACGGGGCAACCUGGUGGCGAGUGGCGAACGGGUGAGUAAUACAUCGGAACGUGCCCAAUCGUGGGGGAUAACGUAGCGAAAGUUACGCUAAUACCGCAUACGAUCUACGGAGGAAAGCGGGGGAUCGCAAGACCUCGCGCGAAUGGAGCGGCCGAUGUCAGAUGAGGUAGUUGGUGGGGUAAAGGCUCACCAAGCCGACGAUCUGUAGCUGGUCUGAGAGGACGACCAGCCACACUGGGACUGAGACACGGCCCAGACUCCUACGGGAGGCAGCAGUGGGGAAUUUUGGACAAUGGGCGCAAGCCUGAUCCAGCCAUUCCGCGUGCAGGAUGAAGGCCUUCGGGUUGUAAACUGCUUUUGUACGGAGCGAAAAGGCUCUCUCUAAUACAGGGGGCUCAUGACGGUACCGUAAGAAUAAGCACCGGCUAACUACGUGCCAGCAGCCGCCGUAAUAC
rnacentral:rRNA from 1 species